rnacentral:lncRNA from 1 species
UGUAUUUUGUGUGUGCUUCAGCAGGAAGUCUUUCAAUCUGUUGUUUGAGGAGACCAAAGCAGUCCAGCAGCUCAGAAGAAAUCAUUGAAGAAAGUUGCAGGUACAAGCCCUUAGAAGCAAAGCACCCAGAAGCUGGGGGAUGGAUGCUCAGGACUGGUAUGUACACCGCAAGCUGGGAUAGAGGAAACUACAUGCUUCAUUAUGUGGAAAUACUGAAAAGCAGAGCAAGGAGAAUAUCAAGCUUCAACUCUAACACCCAAAGAACACUUCAACUGCUGUGAAGCCACUUCUGUGAGCAAACUGGAGGGAGUGGUUCUGCCCGUCGAAUCAUAGAAGCCCAAAGCCGCCUGUAAGAAUGUUGGGCUCACGGGCAGCUGAGCUGCUACCUGGCCUUGCGAUGGCGCAUGCGCGGAACAGCAAGAAACGUAACGGAGAGGGAAAAACACGCACCUGAAAUGAAGCAAAGACUUCCGAUAGAUAACUAAUUAGCAUUAACAUUUUAAUUGAAAACUCCUGGAAAACAAUGAAAAUUGAUAGCCCCUGAAUUUACUCUUAUGUAAAGUGUUAAUCAGGGAACUCUGAAGAAGUCUUUUGUUUGUAUUAAUUUUGUUUUUUAAGUACAUGAAUGAAAUCCUCUAAGUUUGACCUCUUACACUAUAUGGUUUUCAUUCUAAAUGUACAAGUAGAAGCUGACUCAUGAAGUUAUAUGUAGCGUCCAUGAAAACAGUGUGUUAGGAGGCUGCCAUCUUAUUAUUUUCAUAUUUAUUUAAAAUGUAUAUAAAUGUAUUUAUUUUUAAAUAUAAAUAUUUUUAUUUAAAUAUAUUUUAAAUGCAUCAAUCCGCAUCCUAACUCGUAGUUCAGAGAGAUGGUACGGAAACAGUUUUGUGUUCGCUCACUUGAACAAGCCACCUCCAAUUCUUCUGGGAAGAAGGCACACAUAAUCAAACACGUAAAUGAAGAAAUGGAUGCUAGCUUAAACAAAAAUAGGCAAUUUGAGCCUGUGCUGACAUCAUAACAAAAUUGAUGUUAUUUUACUCAGGCUUUAUUUUCCGUGGAUCACUGACUCGUCAAAAAUUAUAAGAAACUCUCAAACUUAUAAUAAUUAGGAAAAAUGUGAUUUGUCCUUGCCCUCAGCUCCUUUCAAACUUUGAUUUUAGAAAUAAAUUUGCUUGGCUAUGUCUAUUUAUGAUAUCAUAGAAGAGUUCGAUUUUAUAAAGUUAUGACUAGCACUUGCAUUUGGCAGAAACUCUAAUCCUUAUAACUAGGAAGGGAGAAAAUCUUUUCAAUCCAAACCUCUCUGAAUGUGUGUUUAAUGCCUCUAUCCCGUAAAAAAGCUGCUGCCGUUGUUGAGUCGUUGGUGCAGGACUCAUUCCGGGGCUUUCCUCAGUGUUGGCUUUGAACCAUCUCCAGCCUCUAUCCUGUUGCCUGCACACCGGGACACUUUAUCUGUGCGUGGCUUGGGCUCUGCAGCCGUCUCUGUUCUACCACGGCCCCUCCUGCGAUCUCCAGUGCUCCUCUCUACCCCUGAUGCUGGGCCUGGGCGUCCGGCAUCCCAUCCCUCCUGGCUGGGCCCUUGGUGCUCGGGACCUUCACUAAUCUGGAAGUGGGAAGUGGACAUCUGCAGAGACUGGUCCUCCUAUGCAUGAUAAUUUAGGAAACAGAGCAGAAAUUUGCCAGGCAUUACCAUUUCUAAUGAGUGACUUUCAUGCAAUUAUACUUUUUAAAGAUUAUAUAAAAAGAGACAAAUCGUGUGUCUGAAAGAUUAGCUAAAGUUGUAGUA